CUUUCACCAAGAUGUCCGAGGAAAGGAAAAGACAGGAAUGCAGGAGACCAGGGUUUGUAGUUGUCAUCUUUUCUGAAUUCUGGAAGGAAAUUGUGCACAUGGAAUAACUGCACUUCUUAUUUAAGUAUAAAUCAAUAAUGUAAAAAGAUGUACCUUUGCUCUUCAUGAUGGAAUACAUAGAGUCCUCUCUUUCGAGAAGAGGGUGACCACUUUCUAGGGGGACCUCUUGUUCAUAGUCAAGCUCUUUGAGGACAUCUGAAGAUUCUACCUCCACUUGUUCAACGUCAAGAAUGUUGUCUCUUGACACGGUAACAUCUUGAGAUUUUGAGAAUGGACUAGCGCAGGGUACACUGUCCUCUUUUCUUGACUCAGUAGGUACCUCAUUUGACUCCUCUUCUUCUUGACCAAUUUCAAAGUACAUACACAGCUCUUCAAUGACUGAGUCAAACAUCUCUUUCAUUUCCAACAUAGGAACAUCCUUGUCUGUGAUCCUGUCUGAUGGGCUGAUGUUUUCUUCCGGCUCAAAGGGAGAGAAACUCUGUUGUGGAGAGGCCACCGGUAAAGAAGCAACAGUAAUGCACUUUUGGCUUUCUUCUCCUCCCCAUGUGGUUCCUCUGUCUUUUGAAAAACUAGCUGAGGUGACUGGACCAUUGUCUUCAUAAUGUGAUAUUAGUUCAAUUGUUUCGUCUGAAUGAUUCCUACUGUGUGUCAGCAUCACAGGGCUAUUAUCAGGUGGAGGAACUGAGUGAACAUGUGUGACCGCAGCUGCAACCAAAGCAGUGGGUGAGCGAUCAAGGAGUGGGCUGUUUUCAAGAUCACUGUCGGGAGAUAUCUUUACUUUUUCAAAAGAGUCGAAACCCAGAUGUACACAGUCAAAGAAAACAUACCCAGGCAGUACUGGGCUCUCUUUUGUCACAUCCUCAGUGGGAGUUGAGUGUGAUCCAGGGACAACUGCGUCAGAGCACAACGUGAACACCGGCAUGUCCUUGACGGUGAAUUCAUGUGAGGUGUCACUGUGGGCGACUGCAUCAGUCACUUUCGCAUUCUCCUCCCAAGGCAGUGUGACUAGUUGCUGCGAAGCUACUCCAUCUGAGAGCUCCUCUGAUUCCUCCUUCCAGUCCUCCGACUGAAGCUUCAAUCUAAUUUCACUCGGGGAAGGGCUACUCUUAAAAAACAAAAGCUUCUCUUCCAUGGCCAAGAUCCCGCCUGGGGAUGAGCACACUGCAGCCUCCAAUCUACUUUCAUGAUGGUCCAUGGAGUCAGACACCAGACUUGCCAGCGCAAGUAAAUCAGUUUGAGCCUCUACUGAAUGAUGGCUAUAUGAAUCAGCAACUGCCUCUACACUGAUGUCAAGACUCUCUGCAGGUUUGGUGAAGCUCACAAAAGCUUGUGAACCCUGGUGAUGGACCCUCAUUGUCUCCUCUGUGGUGGCUCCUUCCCCUGGGCGGCCAUUAGUUCCGAGUAACGAUGCAUUUAAACUGACGUAAUUAAUCACAAGCUGUUCAUCAUCUUCAGAUAGACUUCUCGGAUUAAGUGCGAUAUUUAAGUUCUCAACGUCACUGUUCAAAGGUGACACAAAGGUACAGUGAUCGUCAGAAAGUUCACAUACCUCAUCCCUAACAACAGGAGCUUCUGCAUAGGCCUCAGGAAAGGGAGGACACUGAGCAGUGUCUUCCUCAAAUGCUAUGACGCCAUUCAGUGUCACGUCAGACAUGCUGUGCAAACUUGUUACAAAUGUUGAAUCACUGGUCUGAGAGUUCACCUCCGGUUGCUCGUGUUCAGGGAUAAUGUGACAAUCUCGAUCUGGUCCACUAACUUCAUGGCCUGUGUCUAUCUCAGUUACACCUGCCAUGUCAUUAUACACAUUGGCUGGCAUCUGACUAAGGCCUGACUGUGCGGGUAUGGCUGUGUAUUCAUCACACUUGCGCAAACCUUCGGCUUCAGCUGCUAUGUCAGUGGAAAGCCAUAGGGCUGCAUUACUGGGAACACUGUGAGCAAGAGACGCAUUGAUCUUGGGAUCAUUACUUCCCAAAUCACCACUUAAUGUGACAUCAUAAGUAAAGAUGGAGCCUGUGCUCGCAUAAUCAGCCAUCUCCUCGUCACACAUUACGCGCUCCUCGUUAACUUCAGCUUUUGUCUCUCUAUCACAGGCAUGUGCAUUUUCUCUAAAAAGACUCUCGGGUCUAUCUUGAUUUUUCUCAGCUUCUCUGUGGCCUGAUAGGGUCCCAUAGGGGUUUACUCCAACAUUAGAGGGAGACGAGGAGGACACGGAAUGAGAUGCCAGGAGAAUCUGGUACUCUUCAGUCCUGUGCUCUCUAUAGGCAUUAUCAUAAAACUCUUGCUGAAAUUCAUCAAUCGUUGAGACACUAAUUUCAGCAGUAACACUGCUGUCUCUGAGGCCUGCAUAUGUACUCAGUGCACACUUUUCAAAGGCACUGGCAUCCACAUCAUCACAUGUGAUGGGGCCCAAGUGAGAUUUCACAACAUCUUCAUCACCCUGCAGGACACCUGGAGUUCCUCUGAUCUGACCUAUGACAUCACUUUCAGUUUCCUCAGCACUAAUAAGAUCCAAUGGGUGACUGGCAAACUCUUGACUGUGCACCUUACUAUUCUCAGGCAACUCAACAAUCUCUCUUUUCUCCAUCUCGUCUCCCACUUUUUUUGUGAUGUCACUUUCCUGUAAAGCAUAGUGUGUCAAAGAACUACUUUCAGCAAGCAGUCUUUCUUGUUCAGCUUCAAUGAGUGGCGUUCUGCAGUUGUUAGAGUGGAAAGGCACCUCUGCUGCCGGCUGGUCCAUUCUGUCUGUGUCAAGUCUCAUUCUUUUAGCUGUCGGUGGGGCAGUACUGUUUUCAUCCUGAGAUGAACUACCCACCUUGAUAUCACAGGCAGUACUCAUUUCAGCUCGAGCAGAAUCACCUUCCAUGACAUCAGAGCCUAUUUGCCUUUGAGAAAUGCUUCCAGUAAUGCCAAAGAUUUCCAUUUCUUCAGUGGUGUUCAGUCAUACCUGUAAAUAUUUCUGCCUUUAGUUUCUAGUCUAUAUUAAGCAUUCCACCAUCUAUCACUCGCAAAUCAAAUCAUUACAUCAUCCAUCACUAACAUGUGUUAUGUCUUCUCUAUCUUGAUGUGACUUUUCUAUUUAAUUUACAAAACAAAUGUAAUUCAACAUUUAACAAAAAAAUAAAAAUGUUCUGCAAUUUAUGGAACAAUUUACGUAUUU
ensembl:lncRNA